ACAUAAUUAGCAAUAAAAUUAAAUAAUUAUUUAAUUGAUUUGAAUAUUUUCUGCAACAUUGCCUGCUAUUACAUGACAGAAAUGUUGAUCUGUCAACAGGCUUAGCUUCUCUGGUGCCUAUUCGGGAAUGUCAAAAUUUUGAAUUUUGACCUUUCACUUUCAACAAGUCUUUUAGAAACUCAAAAAUCACUCAAAACGAGUCUCAAAUCAGGGUAUUCAACAACUUUCCUUUCGCUUUAAACAAUACAAAUAAUCCAGGUUGUGUAGUGAGUGUUAGCGGACUUCGGUGAUCCAAAAUCCAAAAAACCAGCAUUAAUCGUUCUUUUUGCGUUUCCGAAUUCGCUUAUUCAAGAACUUACAGUUUCGAUACAUAAUUUAUUCCAAUAGUCUGCCACUCGUUUUUUAAUCGUGUUGACUAGUUUAUGAGAAAUAUACUAGCCGUGAACUCACGGAAGAUCUUCAAUGGUGCAACAAAAUCAUCCCUCAUUCAGCAAAUUUUAACAAUAGUGUUGAAAUUUCCUCGACAAUUUGGUGAAAAAUUUACCAUUUCUGGUCGUAAUGAAGAACGGGUGAAUUGAGGUUUCAUCAAUUAAGU